UUUUGUAAAAUUUGUUGUUUUAAAAAUGAAAGUUGUUUAAAUUAAUGGGAUGUUCCUUUGGCAUAAGGAGUUUAAGAGGGUGAAAGUUAUGGAGCACCCCAAAAACCAAGAUCUAUUUUAUUAGGGGUUAGAGAGAUUUGACCACAAAGUAAGAUAGUAAUGAUAUAUUUUCGUUUGGUUUAUAGGUGGAUUAAACAAGUACAGUUAAGUUGUAUGUUUUUCUUUAACUCCUAUUUUUUUUUUUUUAUUUUUUAAAGUAUGGUGUCUUUUUACUUAAUUUAGUGAAUUUAUAUUUUUGAAUGUUUUGUCUAGAUUUAUGUAUUCUAGAGUUAUUAUUUAAAUAUUAGUAGGAUUUUGUAUGGUUUUAGUGACAUUGUAUAUAACCUGAAAGACUAAACUGUUUGUCGAAUGUUUAAUAAAAACAUUUUUUAACUUAUGUUAGAUAGGCCCUGCUCAAUGAGUUAAAUAGCCGCGGUAUUUUGACCGUGCUAAGGUAGCGUAAUCACUUGGUUGUUUAAUGCAAUCUAGAAUGAAGGGGUUAACGGUAAAUUUGUGGUUUUAGGUUUUAACGGUAAUUUAAAUUUAUUGUGUAAAUUCAAUACAUAAAAUAAGACGGAAAGACCCCGUGAAUCUUUACAAUUUGUUGUUUAAUUGGGGUAAUUAUUGGUUGUUGAAAUACCAAGUAAAAAGAUACUCCGGGGGUAACAGGGCAAUCUUAAGGGUUUGCUACCUCGAUGUUGAAUCAUCCUUUUUUGUCUGUUCGACAAAUUUGAGGGUACGUGAUUUGAGUUUAGACCGGCGUGAGCCAGGUCGGUUCUUAUCUAAAUUUUUGGUUAAGUGGUACGAAAGGAUGCUUAGUCUAAGAUAAUUCUUGAU
rnacentral:rRNA from 1 species